rnacentral:rRNA from 1 species
GACAGAGGAUGCAAGCGUUAUCCGGAAUGAUUGGGCGUAAAGCGUCUGUAGGUGGUUUGACAAGUCUUUUGUCAAAGAUCAGGGCUUAACCCUGGGCCGGCAAGACGAAACUAUCAGACUAGAGUUCGGUAGGGGCAGAGGGAAUUCCCAGUGGAGCGGUGAAAUGCGCAGAGUAUCAGGAGGAACACCAGUGGCGAAGGCGACCACCUGG